rnacentral:rRNA from 1 species
UACCAGCACCCCGAGUGGUCGGGACGAUUAUUGGGCCUAAAGCAUCCGUAGCCGGUUCUACAAGUCUUCCGUUAAAUCCACCUGCUCAACAGAUGGGCUGCGGAGGAUACUAUAGAGCUAGGAGGCGGGAGAGGCAAGCGGUACUUAGUGGGUAGGGGUAAAAUCCGUUGAUCCAUUGAAGACCACCAGUCGGCGAAGGCGGCUUGCCAGAAUGCGCUCGACGGUGAGGGAUGAAAGCUGGGGGAGCAAACCGG